rnacentral:rRNA from 1 species
GAUGAACGCUGGCGGCGUGCCUAAUACAUGCAAGUCGAGCGAACAGACGAGGAGCUUGCUCCUCUGACGUUAGCGGCGGACGGGUGAGUAACACGUGGAUAACCUACCUAUAAGACUGGGAUAACUUCGGGAAACCGGAGCUAAUACCGGAUAAUAUAUUGAACCGCAUGGUUCAAUAGUGAAAGACGGGUUUGCUGUCCCUUAUAGAUGGAUCCGCGCCGCAUUAGCUAGUUGGUAAGGUAACGGCUUACCAAGGCAACGAUGCGUAGCCGACCUGAGAGGGGGAUCGGCCACACUGGAACUGAGACACGGUCCAGACUCCUACGGGAGGCAGCAGUAGGGAAUCUUCCGAAAUGGGCGAAAGCCUGACGGAGCAACGCCGCGUGAGUGAUGAAGGUCUUCGGAUCGUAAAACUCUGUUAUUAGGGAAGAACAAAUGUGUAAGUAACUAUGCACGUCUUGACGGUACCUAAUCAGAAAGCCACGGCUAACUACGUG